CGGCGGACGGGUGAGUAACACGUGGAUAACCUACCUAUAAGACUGGGAUAACUUCGGGAAACCGGAGCUAAUACCGGAUAAUAUAUUGAACCGCAUGGUUCAAUAGUGAAAGACGGUUUUGCUGUCACUUAUAGAUGGAUCCGCGCCGCAUUAGCCAGUUGGUAAGGUAACGGCUUACCAAGGCAACGAUGCGUAGCCGACCUGAGAGGGUGAUCGGCCACACUGGAACUGAGACACGGUCCAG
rnacentral:rRNA from 1 species